CUAGAGAACUCCCAGACCACGUCCUCACACCGUCACCAUCGAUCCCUCCCAAGUUCCCAACCAUCCGCCGCCGCCACUGAUCGGCUGCCCAUCACAUCCGCCGCCGCCACUGAUCGGCUGCCCAUCACAUCCGCCGCCUCCACCGAUCAGCGGUUGCAACUCGACAGGGCUGCCACAUCCUGCUCCCUAGGGCCACCACAUAUGUCACACCCAGACGGACACACCACGCCCACUCGCAGAUCCGGCGGCGGCCCGCCGCCACCCACCCUACUGCAUCCUUCGCCGUCCCCCAUCCGCAAUCACAGCCUGCUAGCCGCCAGGACAGGGCCGCCACAUCUCGCCAGAGCAGAGCCGCCACACAUGGACUGUGUUGCUAGGACCGCCACAUCUCGCUGGUGCAUGGCCAUCGCAUCCGUGGCUCACAUGCCAGUAUGAAGGCUAACUCUCUGGUUUCUGCGAUGAGUCAAACUAACCAUUACUAGCUUGAAACUUGGUUUGUUCAGAGUGAGAAGUAUGAUGAGCAUGCUAUGUCAAGUGGUAAGCUAUCAGCAUCAUUGGAAAUUCAAUGAAAACGUCCUCAUCAUGCUACUAAUUGAGGGGGUUAUAUGACAAUGAAAUCUAGAGUAUCUCACUCAUUUUUACUAAUUGAGGUUUGCUAUUGCGUAAGGUUUUCUGGUUCCCUGUCUUAUUACAUUAACAAUUUGUCAAUUUUAGCUUAGAUCUAAUGCCAUAUUUUUUGUCUCUAAAAACACUCUAUAAGCUACUUUACCAUUUAAUUUUAACUUAGAUUAACACUAUGUAAGCUGCUUGACCAUUUAUUUUUGUGCAUUUAUUUCCUCUCUUAAUAUAAGUUUUGCAUUUAUUUUGUUAGCUGCCAUGAUCAGCUCUGCAUUUUCCAUUAACAGGUUCUGUUAAAUUUAUUCAUAUAAUAACUUGAGGUAAUAUAGGUCCUGAUGUUCUCUUGGUCUUCGUAAGCAGUGUUGAUGCUGGUAGAAUAUAUCCUGAGUUAGAAUGGUGAAGUUUGAUGAGUUCGAAUAUCUCAUGUUCUAUUUAAUGUUGACUCAUUGUUAUGGCCAUUUUCCAUGUAAUAUGCACUAUAAUCUCCAUUCUCCAGUUUUCUUAGGAAUUCAUAGUUAGACCUUAUUGCAGAACCAUGUUUUCACGAGUAUAGUAUCUAGUAACGUGGUGAAAUGUCAACUAAUUCAGAUUUGUUUUUGGUAUAUUGAUAACUACAACAGGUAGCUAGUUCAAGAAAGGUAUAAAUUAUAGGUAGUGUGGGGUGAGGAGCAGGCCACACAUGCCCUAGCCCCUGACACACAUUAUAAGGAGUUAUAUAUCUGAUGACUUAUUGAAAGUUUUUUAGAGGAUUCUAACACUAUCGGAAGACAUUCCAAUUUUACUAAUAUCCCUAACUAGAACUCAUGAGCUUAUUCCACAUUGUGAUGAUAUUGAUUAUGUCUAUUUACAUUUUUUACAUGUUUGGAAGCUUGCUCCGUUAAUCUAACUUGCCAUGUUUACAAAUAGAAUCAUUAAUGUUAUUAUGCCAUGUUUACAAUCAGAAUCAUUUACAUGUUUGGAAGCUUGUUCUGUUAAUCACAAUCGAACAUGCCAUGUUUUCAUGUUAUUAUACAAUCAGAAUUAUUUAUGUUAUUACAAUUAGAAUCAUUUAUGUUUACAAUCAGAAUCAUAUUUACAUGUUUGCACUAUGGUGAAGGUGACGAAGAGUCAAUUGUGAGCCUUAUUUAUGUUAUUAUAUCACUUCUAGGACAAACCGACUUCUACUUUUGCCAGCGUGAUUGCCCUGGAAUCCACAGUUGUUGCAAGUAGGAAUAUGCCAAAUCGAUCCCAUAGACUUGCUAUCAAUGAUUUCAAGUUGCUUGGUCGCCUGUUCAAACCAUGGGACCGACUAGGCGACUAGUCGUGAUUAGGCGAUGACUAGGGCAUUUAGUCGACCCCUAGUCGGUCCCUGGUCGUCCUAGACCAUUUAGAUUAUGUUCUAAUACACACACACAUUAUAUAAAUUAGAACAAAUAGCUAGGAUAAACAAAAUAACAUAUUGCUUUAAACUCUGUAGAUUGCAAACAUAGACAUAGGAGCAAGGCACUACCUAGCAAUGGCUUAGGAGUAGAGAAGUAAGCCAAAAACUAUCCACUAGUUCGGCACUGGUCACUGGCACAGAUACAGAGAAGGGGGAGCAGGAGGAACCUUUAGAUGACCAACUCAACUCAUCAAUGGUGCUUGUAUGCAGGAGAGUGGAGAAGCCAGUAGUCUGUCAUAGUCGCCGCCGGUGCUCUGUCAUAUGUCACAGCCACCACCGGUGCUGGUCUUCUAUACUGCAGUAGGCCAGGUCUGAAGGCUGGAGGUCAGGCAAGAGAGGAGGUGUACCCUGGUUUUGGUGGCUGGGCGACUAGGUAUUGGCAGAGGAGAGGAGAGGAGAGGCCAGACUAAAUGAUACUGUAGAUGGGCUAAAAAUGACCCAAUAACGAAACCCUAGCCGGGUGAAAAUGGCACAAUACCAAAACCCUAGCCGGGCAACCAGGAAACACUAAGCGGAUGAUUAGUCGCCCUAAUCGGCGAUUAGUAGGACAACUAGAUUGACCAGCCUAUCUAGUUGAGUCAUCUACCUAAUCGAACACAAACAGGCGACUAGCCCGAUAAUCAUGAUUAAUCGGACGACUUGAAAUCAUUGCUUGCUAUUGCUGGUCAGCUUGCUAUUGCUGGUCAGCUGGUGUUUCUGGCAUAGCCAUUGUUCUGACCAACCAUAUAUAAAUGCAAAGCUCCAUCCUAAAAAAGUUAUAGAUUUUUAGAGCUAAAAGUAGUUUAACUGAUAUUUGGUUAUUUGUCUUUCUUUAUUCUUGACAAAAAGGACAGUUCAUCACAUCAAAGACAAAUGGAAUAGAGCAGAAGAUCCAAAAUGUCAUUAGUUCAAAUGAGACUCUUGUGUUACAGUUCACAACAGGAAGUAAAAGAAAAUAAAAAAAGGAACAUUUCAACAGUAUGGCUUUCUUCUUUUCUCGAUGCUUGGAAUGCAUGAGGUUUUUCUUUCUAUCUAUCCCUACGUUUGUUCUAAAAGACUAGACUGAUUCAUAUCAAAUUUCUAUAUAAUUUCAAGUGGCUGCUUUCUAGAGCGAUGGUGAUGGCAGCUAGGCAGGACACUGAGGAGGGAGGGGCAAGUGGUGUUCUUAGCUCAACGGAUCAGAUCGAUCAUGUGCUGAGCAACACUUUUUGAGGUAUCUCAGGUGUGUAAUUCUUGCAGGGACAAUGGCGAUGGGAUAGCAGAGCGGGGUGGCAUGCUUGCAGUACCUCCUCGACGCCGCCUACGAUGCCAGCUUCAACUUCUUUUGACUCCACAGAAUUGUAGGCUCAUUUGCUCCCUCAUCUUCCUACCUCGGUUUGUGAGUAAUGAAAGGUGAAUGGAUGCACAUUUGCAAACCUGUUUCCUUGUCAGGUACCCGAACUGCCAAUACACUUCAGUGUGGGAUACAAUGGAAGCACUUGUGACUGAGACUAGAAUAGAAGGGAAAGAAUCUAAGACCUCUAUAGAAGCAAUUGCUCAAGUAUUGGCUUCAUCAAGAUAUCUUCAAAAUGUUCUUGUAGCUGCAAUAAAGAGAAGCGGGAAUGGUGGUGAUGCUACAUGCGUAGAAGUAGAAAUGUUGGUCUUGUAGCUCCAAGAGUUGCUCAAGUAUUUGCUUCAUCAAUUUUUUUUUUCAAAAUGUUGUUCUUGUAGCUGCAACAAAGAGAAACUGCAAUGGUGGUGAUGCUAAAUGUUGGUAUUGUAGCUCCAAGAUUUGGUUUUUGAUGAAUGAUAUCUAUGAUAAUACGUUGCUAAGUAUAUGUG